rnacentral:rRNA from 1 species
GCACAUAGUUAGUCGUCGCUUUUUGCUCAAAUGCAAAACCUUACGGCUAGUACAUUUAAGUAAAGAAGUUUACAAUCCGUAGACCUUCCUCCUUCACGUAGUAUUGCGCGGUCAGGGUUUCCCCCAUUGCCGACGAUUCCUCACUGCUGCCUCCCACUGGGAGUAGGAGCCGUGUCUCAGUCCCCUUGUGGCCAAUCAGCCUCUCAGCCUGGCUACGCAUCAUUGCCUUGGUAGGCCAUUACCCCACCAACUAACUAAUACGACCUAUCCCCAUCAUUUAGCGAGCCCAAAAGCCCUUUCAUGAUUACUCAUAAUAUGCGGAAUUUUAUCCCCCACUAAAUGGCAGGUAAGAUAAGCAUUACUCACCCGUUCGCCGCUGAAAGCAAUAUUGCUACUACUUUCCGCUCGACUUGCAUGUGUUAGGCAUACUACCAACGUUCAUC